AGUUAAAAUUGCAUUAAAGAAAGUGAAAUUGCAUUGAAAUAGGUUUUUUAUAAAAACUGACCCCGAUAAUGCACUUUUGCAGGAUUGAAGCCCUAAUGUGAAAUUGACCGCGUACAAACCUAAUUGAGGGUAAAGGAAACGCGCUGGCGAAGUCGGUUCGGCAAUCCGACGAACCUACGCGAAGAUAUCGCCAAAAGAGUAUUUUCGACUAUAAUUGUCGGGAGCGCGGGUCGCGAUUCUCGGGAAAGUACUAAAAGCGGAUUUCUCUCAUUCCAGAAUCAAGUAAAGGUUGCACGCGAGCGGCGCGGCGGCGCGAGGACAGGGCGUAGCUCCGUAGAUAGCGCCCCACCACUGAGACCGAGAUAGCAAUACCCUGAAGAGGUCAAGCUCAGCGUAUCAGUAUGAAUGAAACAAAAUUGUAGUAAAAGUGUAUAAGUUGUAAUAAUUUAAAGGCUUAUGUAAUAUUGUAAAAGUAAAAAA